rnacentral:rRNA from 1 species
UGGGGAAUAUUGGACAAUGGGGGCAACCCUGAUCCAGCAAUACCGCGUGUGUGAAGAAGGCCUGAGGGUUGUAAAGCACUUUCAGCGAGGAGGAAGGGUAUAUGGUUAAUACCCAUAUAUUUUGACGUUACUCGAAGAAGAAGCACCGGCUAACUCUGUGCCAGCAGCCGCGGUAAUACAGAGGGUGCAAGCGUUAAUCGGAAUUACUGGGCGUAAAGCGUGCGUAGGCGGAUGCUUAAGUCAGAUGUGAAAGCCCUGGGCUUAACCUAGGAAUUGCAUCUGAUACUGGACAUCUAGAGUAUGGUAGAGGAUAGUGGAAUUUCAGGUGUAGCGGUGAAAUGCGUAGAUAUCUGAAGGAACACCAGUGGCGAAGGCGACUGUCUGGGCCAAUACUGACGCU